UCCAGGAUGGCCGAGUGGUUAUGGCAUCAGACUCCAAAUCUGGUUCCUGUUGCAGUGGGAGCGCAGGUUCGAAUCCUGCUCUUGGAC